rnacentral:rRNA from 1 species
GGACUACCAGGGUAUCUAAUCCUGUUUGCUCCCCACGCUUUCGUGCAUGAGCGUCAGUUAUAGCCCAGAGACCUGCCUUCGCCAUCGGUAUUCCUCCUGAUAUCUACGCAUUUCACUGCUACACCAGGAAUUCCAGUCUCCUCUGCCAAACUCCAGCCUUGCAGUCCCAAAUGCCAUUCCCAGGUUGAGCCCGGGGAUUUCACAUCUGGCUUACAAAACCGCCUGCGCACGCUUUACGCCCAGUAAUUCCGAUUAACGCUCGCACCCUACGUAUUACCGCGGCGGCUGGCAC